AGUGGCGAACGGGUGAGUAACGCGUAAACAACCUGCCUUUAGGAUGGGGACAACAGUUGGAAACGACUGCUAAUACCGAAUGAGCUUCGAUUACCGCAUGGUAGAAGAAGAAAAGAUGGCCUCUCAUAGAAGCUAUCGCCAAGAGAGGGGUUUGCGUCUGAUUAGCUAGUUGGAAGGGUAACGGCCUACCAAGGCGAUGAUCAGUAGCCGGUCUGAGAGGAUGGACGGCCACAUUGGGACUGAGACACGGCCCAAACUCCUACGGGAGGCAGCAGUGGGGAAUCUUCCGCAAUGGACGAAAGUCUGACGGAGCAACGCCGCGUGAGUGAUGACGGUUUUCGGAUUGUAAAGCUCUGUUGAGUGGGACGAACGGCAUUAUGGCUAAUAUCCAUAGUGAGUGACGGUACCACUUUAGAAAGCCACGGCUAACUACGUGCCAGCAGCCGCGGUAAUACGUAGGUGGCAAGCGUUGUCCGGAAUUAUUGGGCGUAAAGCGCGCGCAGGCGGUUUUUUAAGUCGGUCUUAAAAGUGCAGGGCUUAACCCUGUGAUGGGACUGAAACUGGAAGACUAGAGUAUCGGAGAGGAAAGUGGAAUUCCUAGUGUAGCGGUGAAAUGCGUAGAUAUUAGGAGGAACACCAGUGGCGAAGGCGACUUUCUGGACGAAAACUGACGCUGAGGCGCGAAAGCCAGGGGAGCGAACGGGAUUAGAUACCCCGGUAGUCCUGGCCGUAAACGAUGGAUACUAGGUGUGGGGGGGUAUCGACCCCUCCCGUGCCGGAGUUAACGCAAUAAGUAUCCCGCCUGGGGAGUACGACCGCAAGGGUUGAAACUCAAAGGAAUUGACGGGGGCCCGCACAAGCGGUGGAGUAUGUGGCUUUAAUUCGACGCA
rnacentral:rRNA from 1 species